CAUCGCCUCUUGAAAUCAUUAGAGGUCCAGCCUGCCCUGUGACUCUUGUUUAACGGCCGCGGUAUAUUAACCGUGCGAAGGUAGCGUAAUCACUUGUCUUCUAAAUAGAGACUAGUAUGAAAGGCAUCACGAGAGUUUAACUGUCUCCUCCACCUAAUCAGUGAACCUAAUCUCCCCGUGAAAAAGCGGGGAUUCUCAUAUAAGACGAGAAGACCCUAUGGAGCUUAAAACAUCCUACAUGUGCUAUUUAACUUUUUCCCUACCCCCCCACCGCACAAUGAUUUUAUGUUUUUGGUUGGGGUGACCGCGGAGAAAAUCUCAUCCUCCGUAGUGAAAGGAGCUACUCCUUAACAACAAACUACAACUUUAUGUAUUAAUAUAUUAACACUUUUGACCCAAUAAAUUGAUUAACGAACCAAGUU
rnacentral:rRNA from 1 species